rnacentral:tRNA from 1 species
GGCUUCAUAGUUCAAGGGAUAGAACAAGGGUUUCCGGUACCCUAGAUCCAGGUUCGAGUCCUGGUGAGGCUA